rnacentral:lncRNA from 1 species
CCAAACCUUGAACAUUCAUGUCGUCUCUGGGAAGUGGCUUUUUGAUUCAGCACUGGUACUUUCCAGUGUCAGCACUUGUAUGUGUCAGUAGCUAAGUCUCUCGUCCAAGGGCCCCAGGUUCUCAGCCUCUGCUUCAUCUCAGGAAAGCCCUCUGGCAGUUGAAGAGAAUGGGGAAACCAUGAGACCAAAAUUUAAAAGCCAGAGCUUCCUGACUCCAAAAUCCUCUUUCUUUCCUGUUAUCCUGCUGAAGUGCCGAUUUCAAAUGAAGACUGACUUGAUCCUGAACAUAACCUACAAGAAGAAAGGGACCACAGGCUAUACACAAAGCAUGGUGCCGGCAUCUGCUUCUGGUGAGGGCCUCAGGAAGCUUACAAUCAUCUUGGAAGGUGAAGAGGAAGCCAGCGCAUCACAUGGCAAGAGAGGGAGCAAGAGAGAAGGGGACAGUGCCGCACACUUUAAAAAAAAACCUUAUCUCACGAGGCAGAACUAACUGAGUGAGAGUUCACUCAUCACCAAGGGAAUGGUGCUGAGUCAUUCAUGAGGGAUCCCCCUGCCGCCCCCGUGAUCCAAUCACCUCCCACCAGACCCCACCUCCAACACUGGGGAUUACAUUUCAACAUGAGACUUGGGGGGGACAAACAUCCAAACCAUGUCAGUCUUCAACCCCUCUUCCUGACAUACAACUCCUAAAACUCUUAGAAUCUCCAAAGUGCUGUCUUUUUAUGUGUUAGUAAUUGGCUAGUGGCUCACAGCCCCUUGGUAGCUUCAGGAUGGGGCCUGGUCACUGGAAAGACCAAGUCAUAAUUAGAGGGUUGAGACUUUCAGCCCACCCCCAACAUCUGGGGAGAAGAGAAGGGCCGAAGCUCAAAUUGAUCACCAAUGGCCAGUGUUUUAAUUAAUCAUGUGGCCAGGCGUGGUGGCUCACGCCUGUAAUCCUAGCACUUUGGGAGGCUGAGGCAGGUGGAUCACGAGGUCAGGAGAUGGAGACCAUCCUGGCUAACACGGUGAAACUCCAUCUCUACUAAAAAUACAAAAAAUUAGCUGGAUGCGGUGGCAUGCGCCUGUAGUCCCAGCUACUCAGGAGGCUGAAGCAGGAGAAUCACUUGAACCCGGGAGGCAGAGGUUACAGUGAGCCGAGAUUACACCACUGCACUCCAGCCUGGGUGACAGAGCCAGACUCCAUCUCAAAAAAACAACAACAAAAAAAGACAAAUAAAAUAAAUAAAAAUAAUGAAUCAUGCCUAUGUAAUGAAGCCUCCAUAAAAACACAAAAGAAUAGGGUUCAGGGAGCCUCUGGAUAGCUGAAUAUCUGGAGGCUCCUAGAGAGUGGCAUGUCCAGAGGGCAUGGAAGCUCUGUGCCCCUUUUUCACCCUAUACACCUCAUCAUCUGUAUGCUUGGUAA